rnacentral:rRNA from 1 species
UACGUAGGGACCGAGCGUUGUCCGGAAUCAUUGGGCGUAAAGAGCGUGUAGGCGGCUAUUUAAGUCCUGCGUGAAAUCCUGCGGCUCAACCGCAGACGGUCGUGGGAAACUGGAUGGCUAGAGUGCGGGAGAGGAGAGUGGAAUUCCCGGUGUAGCGGUGAAAUGCGCAGAUAUCGGGAAGAACACCCGUGGCGAAGGCGGCUCUCUGGAACGCAACUGACGCUGAGACGCGGAAAAGCGUGGGGAGCAAACAGGG